rnacentral:rRNA from 1 species
GUGGGGAAUAUUGGGCAAUGGGGGAAACCCUGACCCAGCGACGCCGCGUGAGGGAAGACGGCCUUCGGGUUGUAAACCUCUUUUGUACGGGAAGAAGGAAGUGACGGUACUGUACGAAUAAGUCCCGGCUAACUACGUGCCAGCAGCCGCGGUAAUACGUAGGGGACGAGCGUUGUCCGGAAUUACUGGGCGUAAAGGGCGCGCAGGCUGUGCUGCAAGUCAGCUGUGAAAUGUCUGGGCUUAACCCGGGCAUGCGGUUGAGAUUGCAGUGCUGGAGUGCUGUAGAGGCAAGUGGAAUUCCCAGUGUAGCGGUGAAAUGCGUAGAUAUUGGGAAGAACACCGGUGGCGAAGGCGACUUGCUGGGCAGCAACUGACGCUGAGGCGCGAAAGCCAGGGGAGCAAACGGGAUUAGAAACCCUGGUAGUCC